GUGUCAGCAGCCGCGGUAAGACGGAGGGGGCAAGCGUUGUUCGGAAUUACUGGGCGUAAAGGGCGUGUAGGCGGAUUGGUCAGUCAGGGGUGAAAGGCCUGGGCUCGACCCAGGAACUGCCUCUGAUACUGCCAGUCUAGAGUCCGGGAGAGGAUCGUGGAAUUCCCAGUGUAGAGGUGAAAUUCGUAGAUAUUGGGAAGAACACCAGUGGCGAAGGCGGCGAUCUGGACCGGUACUGACGCUGAGGCGCGAAAGCGUGGGGAGCAAACAGGGUUAGAUACCCUGGUAGUCCACGCCGUAAACGAUGUCAGCUAGUCGUUGGGGAGCGUAGCUCUUCAGUGACACAGCUAACGCACUAAGCUGACCGCCUGGGGAGUACGGCCGCAAGGUUAAAACUCAAAUGAAUUGGCGGGG
rnacentral:rRNA from 1 species